AUGGGCGCAAGCCUGAUGCAGCGACGCCGCGUGAGGGAUGGAGGCCUUCGGGUUGUAAACCUCUUUCGCCAGUGAAGCAGGCCUGUCCCUUUUGUGGGUGGGUUGACGGUAGCUGGAUAAGAAGCGCCGGCUAACUACGUGCCAGCAGCCGCGGUAAUACGUAGGGCGCGAGCGUUGUCCGGAAUUAUUGGGCGUAAAGAGCUCGUAGGCGGCUGGUCGCGUCUGUCGUGAAAUCCUCUGGCUUAACUGGGGGCUUGCGGUGGGUACGGGCCGGCUUGAGUGCGGUAGGGGAGACUGGAACUCCUGGUGUAGCGGUGGAAUGCGCAGAUAUCAGGAAGAACACCGGUGGCGAAGGCGGGUCUCUGGGCCGUUACUGACGCUGAGGAGCGAAAGCGUGGGGAGCGAACAGGAUUAGAUACCCUGGUAGUCCACGCCGUAAACGUUGGGCACUAGGUGUGGGGGGCCUUUUCCGGGUCUUCCGCGCCGUAGCUAACGCAUUAAGUGCCCCGCCUGGGGAGUACGGCCGCAAGGCUAAAACUCAAAGGAAUUGACGGGGGCCCGCACAAGCGGCGGAGCAUGCGGAUUAAU
rnacentral:rRNA from 1 species